rnacentral:rRNA from 1 species
AACGAACGCUGGCGGCAUGCCUAACACAUGCAAGUUGAACGAGACCUUCGGGUCUAGUGGCGCACGGGUGCGUAACGCGUGGGAACCUGCCCUUAGGUUCGGAAUAACUCCCCGAAAGGGGUGCUAAUACCGGAUAAUGUCUUCGGACCAAAGAUUUAUCGCCUUUGGAUGGGCCCGCGUUGGAUUAGCUAGUUGGUAGGGUAAAAGCCUACCAAGGCGACGAUCCAUAGCUGGUCUGAGAGGAUGAUCAGCCACACUGGGACUGAGACACGGCCCAGACUCCUACGGGAGGAAGGAGGGGGGAUUAUUGGAAAAGGGGCGAAAGCCGGACCCAGCAAUUCCGGGUGAUGAAAAAAGGCCUUAGGUUGGAAAAGCUCUUUUCCCCGGGAUGAAAAUGCCAGGCCCGGGAGAAUAAGCCCCGGCAAACCCCGU